GAUGAAGAACGUAGCGAAAUGCGAUACUUGGUGUGAAUUGCAGAAUCCCGUGAACCAUCGAGUCUUUGAACGCAAGUUGCGCCUCAAGCCAUUAGGUUGAGGGCACGUCUGCCUGGGCGUCACAUAUCGUUGCCUGAUGCCAGUUUCCUCGUGAUGGGUGACUGUGCAGGGCGAAUGAUGGCUUCCCGUGAGCAUUGUUGCCUCAUGGUUGGUUGAAAAUUGAGUCCUUGGUAGGGAGCGCCGUGAUAGAUGGUGGUUGAGUGACGAACGAGACCCAAUCAUGUGAGACCCCUACCGAAUUUGGCCUUCAUGACCCACAUGCGUCUUUGGAACGCUCAUGACGAGACCUCAGGUCAGGCGGGGCUACCCGCUGAGUUUAAGCAAAUCAAUAAGCGGAGGA
rnacentral:misc_RNA from 1 species